rnacentral:rRNA from 1 species
UACGUAGGGUGCAAGCGUUAAUCGGAAUUACUGGGCGUAAAGCGUGCGCAGGCGGUUUUGUAAGACAGAGGUGAAAUCCCCGGGCUCAACCUGGGAAUUGCGUUCGAGACUGAAUAGCUAGGGUGCGGUAGAGGGAAGCGGAAUUUCCGGUGUAGCGGUGAAAUGCGUAGAGAUCGGGAGGAACAUCAGUUGCGAAGGCGGCUCUCUGGACCAGCACUGACACUGAGGCACGAAAGCGUGGGGAGCGAACAGG